rnacentral:lncRNA from 1 species
AGGUCCUGGUAAUUCUGAUGGGGAUUGGGACAGAACUUUGUGACUGAUCCCCAGGACCCAUACAUUCCUUCCCCAGGUAGGGGAUCUGCUUGUGUGUGCCCUCCACACCCCGCUCCCCAAUCUAGAAUACUCUGGAUUUUCUUAGGUAGACAAGCAACCAUGGUCCUUUUGGGGUAGAGGAAACCCUGGUGGAUCCCGUGUGGACAGUUACAGAGUCAAGAGCUGGGCCCUGAAUUUUGUCCAAUGCUUCCUGGCCUUGGUUUUCAUCACAGGAGCCAUCAUCAGGGCCAAGUAGGCUGGUAGGUCCGUAGCUACUAGGAUCAUUAUAGCCUUUUGGGCACAGGCUAUGUAUGGCAGCCUUCAAGUUCGGAAAGGAAAGAGCAGAAAUACUUCCCCCUCCUCCAGUUGGUACAUAGUUGUCCCAAAGGAACAAACCUCGAACUGACCCGUGUUGUCCCCUUUCUCCCCACCCUCUCACUUUCUGUUGAGACUGAACCCUAUCGAGCCCACUCCACGUGCUCCGGGAUCUGUCCCAGCCCUGGGGUUGCACCUCAGAGGACCCAGCGGCUGCUGCUGCUGCUGCCGCCGCCGCUGCUCCGCUGGUGGCGUACCUGGCGAUCGGAGUGAGAGGCGGUGAGUUGGGGCUCCGAGCCUGGGAAGGAAGGGACUGGAGAAGACUGGGUGCCUCGGCAUGGGACGGGACUGGGACUCGCUGCGCUCCCGCGGGUAACGGCGCCCAGCUGCAUCCUGCUUUCCCUCCCCGUGGGCGCGGGAAAGACGAGGAAGCCCCCACAGCCCUGGAAAGGGUAGCCGUGGCUCCGUGCGCCCGGAGGGCUUCUGCUUUUCCACCCACGCUCCUUAACUGCUUGCAUUACCCGGAGUGCAGAGUAACUCUUCUAGACCCUUACGUGCGUGCUUUGGUGGGUGGGGGAAUCCUUUCCUUUGCCCUUUCUUGCCAGCGCCUACAACGCUGAGACGUUGGUGGAACUUUCUGCUGCUUUUUGGAUGCCUCUGCCUCGGGCUGUGGGCAUCCUGGGGUCUUCUCACCCCUCCCUCCCUGUAGCAACAGCAAACGUGACCCAGGGAGAAGAGGGGAGGGAGGGAGGGAGAGAAGGGGAGCGAGAGGCAGUGCUAGUUGUGGCAUCCAGGUGUGACUCGCAGCUGCCAGUCUGUAGGAUGUGUGAGGAAGAUAGUUCAAGCCGUUAGCUUCUCCUUCGUUGGGUUCCUGAUUGCCAUCCUAUAUAUAACCCAACAAGGGGAGAGAACAUGGAAAGAAGGGUAAAGGGCAUGUAUCUGGGAAAGACACACACAAGUCCCUGAAGGAGUUGGGGUACAUUUCUCUCCCCUCCCAACUUCUGAAAUUUGAAAUCAUUGCUGGCCAGCGGUAGAGGCAAGAGGGGCACCCACAGGAAACGCCAGCCGGUCUAAUGAUGAAUCUUGGUGCCAAAACCUUACAUGAGAGUCACUUGUUAAAGGCAAGACAGGGCUCUGGCUGCAUAACCUGGCAGAUGAGUUGAUCGCUUGCUGUCCUCCCUACCUCUUACUUGGGCAGGGUGUGAGGAAACUAAAAUCUGUCAUCUUGUUGGGUAUUUUUCUCUUGAAGGUUAUUCCUAGCCAUUCAGAGAAGCUUGGUAUAGAAGGUUGAGGAAGGAAAAUUAAAAGUCCUUAUUGUCACCCUAUUAUCUAUCAUUGAUAUAUGUAAGUAUCUUUGGCAAGUUUGGGUGAGCUGUUUUCAUCAUAAUUUUAAAAAAUA